UUGACCUCAAAUCAGGUAGGACUACCCGCUGAACUUAAGCAUAUCAAUAAGCGGAGGAAAAGAAACUAACAAGGAUUCCCCUAGUAACUGCGAGUGAAGCGGGAAAAGCUCAAAUUUAAAAUCUGGGGGUCCCUGUGGCCCUCCGAGUUGUAAUCUAGAGAAGUGCUAUCCGCGCUGGACCGUGUACAAGUCUCCUGGAACGGAGCGUCAUAGAGGG
rnacentral:rRNA from 1 species